ACUUUGUUGCUCGAUUGCUUGUGUUGUUUUUACAGUCUCUCGUGUCCUGUGAUGCAGACAGUUCCCUGCUAGCUCGAUGCAUGCGGAACCAAUACUCUCGUGUUUGAAGCUUCUUGGGUGGUGUUUUGAACGGCCCGCGUGCUGCCAACGCACGGGCGUCCCUAUCUGGAGUGUCCGUUAAUGCUACCAUGAACAAAACAGCGUGUCUCAAACGGGCGGACCUGUUCGCCGGCAUGAUCAAGCGUGGAAUUACGAGGGAUCGACCGAUGCACUGGAGAUUAUUGCCUGUGCUUACAAUGUGCAUACGGAGAAUGUGGAGCAAUGGCUGUGUGACGACGUUCGGCUUUGCCCUCAACCAGCAUACCGGACGGAGCACGCAGUCCCCUGUUCUAACCGGCAGUGAAGGGACCAUUCGGAGGUAUAUGAACCGUGUGGCGAGAGGUGAAAUUCUUAGACCCACGCGUGACAGACUGAAGCGAAGGCGUUUUCCCACCAAGGGUGCGUCCGUCAAUCAAGAACGAGAGUGUGGGGAGCGAAGAUGAUCAGAUACCGUUGUAGUCCACUUUACCGUAAACGAUGUCAGCUCGGUGUUGGGCCUGUGUUCCUUAUGAGAACGACUUGCUCAGCACCACCCCCUACUAACGAGAAAUCCAAGCCUAUGGGUUCAGGGGGGAGUACCGUCGCAAGGCUGAAACUUAAAGGAAUUGACGGAAUGACACCACAAGGCGUGGAGUCUGCGGCUUAAUUUGACCCAACACGGGAAACGUUACCGGGUCAGGACACAGCAAGGAUGGACAGAUUGAGAGCUCUUUCUUGAUUCUUUGAAAGGUGGUGCAUGGCCGUUCCUGGUUGGUGGAGUGAUUUGUCUGGUUGAGUCUGAUAACGAGCGAGAUCUCUGCCUCCCAAUAGCUGCCUGUCUCGUUUCAGUAGGGCGAUGCGAUGGGUUUCUGCAGGGCUUGCCCUGCAGAAUCACACCGAUCUUCGUCCGAGAGCGCAGGUUUGACUUCUAGGAGGUGCUGCGUGCGCUUCCCAGCACGUGUAAGCUAGAGCCGACAGCAGGUCUGUGAUGCCCCUUAGAUGUCCUGGGCUGCACGCGCACGACAAUGGUACUGUGAACAUGCUCAAUGUCCUACCAUGUGCAGGGUCCUGCAUCGAAAGGUGUGGGCAAUCCUGCAAAACGGCGGCCGUGAUUGGGAUAGAUGACUGCAAUUAUUUGCCUUGAACGAGGAAUGCCUAGUAGGCGCAGUUCAUCAGGCUGCACCGAUUAUGUCCCUGCCAUUUGUACACACCGCCCGUCGUUGCUACCGAUGACAUAAGGAUAGAGAUCUCAGGAGAGCCCGUGCUUUACUGCCAACGCUCGAAUAUGACCAAUGUCAUCAUGCUAGAGGAAGCAAAAAGAUCGGAAGAGCGUCGUGUAG
rnacentral:rRNA from 1 species